CAUCCACUUUGUCUUGCUCACUAUGCUUAGGGUUAGAGAAGAACAAAUACACUUUAGGUUCUGUUGGUGUUCUCCACCAACAGGAUCCAUGCACUUGAUCUCUGCCUUGUCUCUAUGAGCAGGUACACUUCGAGCAAAACACGGAGGAGUUUUAUAACUCUCAGACUCUACCAAGUAAAGGACCUGGAUCUACGAGCACAAACACACUGAGCAGGAUACUUCCAACGCCGUACUUCGAACUGCUAGGCAAACAAAGAGGUGCAGACGUCAAGGUCUGCACCUGAAUCAAAUGACGCACCUUAAGAAUGAACACGGUGAGAAGUCUUGUCAAGAAGACUUAAAACAUUGAACCACCGCCGAAAGGCAAGAUCGGUAGUUAUCCAUAUUUAUCCUUUCUGCAUUCCUUUUUCCCUUUAAUUAUUUACUUUCCUUAAAUAGAUUAUUAGUUAAUCAUGCUAUCUUGAAAAGAAAAUAAAAAUGUUAAAGAAUACUAAGCCCCAUGUGAGUAUACGAGUGGCAUAAAACCCAUAAGUACCUUCACUGUGGUGGCAUAAAAAUAAAAUAAAUAUUUCUUUUCUGCUUUAUAAAAUAAAAAAAUAUAAAAAUAGGGAGUAAUAUUUAUUGAGGAAGCUCAACAUGAUGAAGGCUAGAUAUUUAUGCUAACACUUAAUUAGUUUCACAAGCUUUGUUGUCUAUUUGAGCUCCACAGAAUUUAAGAAUCAAGAAGACUAGCAGACGGAGGACAUUCUAAUCGCUGUCAGAAUGCUGCUGACUUUCAAAUACACCUCUGCCACCUGCUAGCUACAUCAAGAGAAAUUACGUCAAAAUUUAGCUUGGGGGAGAGCACCUCCAUUUAUCUCGCUAAGUAUUUCUACAUAUCUUUAUACUUAUAUUAUAUAAGAAUAUUAAAAUACAUAAACUAUGAAAAACCAAAUAAAGAUUUUGUGCUUAUAUAUAUCUUUUGCUUAGUAUGUUUAAUAUGCUAAUCUGAAUCUUAAUAAUAAAACUCUAGCAUGGAUAUGAUGAAUAGUUGCUCUGCCUAAUUUGCAAAUUUGAAGUUCUCUCUCAAGUUUAGACAUAACUAUUAUAAUUUAAAGCUUGCUCUAGAUCUAAACAUGUGGGAUGAAAACUUGAUCUGAAAUCUAAGUUGUUAACGGAUAUGAUAUGGGAAGGUUGAGCUGCUGUUUAUCUGUUCCUAGAGAUGCUAGAAUUCUGGAGAAUUUUAUCUUUGAAAAAUCCUUAAAAUAUUGCAUGAUGAGUUCCUGUAUGAUGAAAGUUUAAAUUCCUACCACAGCCAUAUAUACAUGCUUGCUAGACUUUGAGCCACACAUUUACUAUUUACUGCUUAUGAGCAUUGAGUGUGGUCAAGCUGUGUAGACCCUUAGGAGCUUGUCAUGUGGUUAAAUCAAGAUUUCACUUGCACAUUCACUCAUAUAUGCUACUUCUACUCCGGAAGUACCAUCCACAUAUAUCCACUCAUUUCCAUCUCCAGAACCACCCAAAAAUAUUCUACUCCUAAUCCGGGAGAGAAUAGCCAAAAAUAAUUCUGUUUUCCCUUGUGAAAUAAAUGCUCAAGUUAUCUUGCUACUACCACUUGCUAUAUUAUCUCAAGAGAUGAGUGCUCUGAAAAAAAGAGAGAAAAGAGAAGAAAAGAAAAAAAAUAAAAAAUAAACGAGGAAAUAAAAAGGGGCAAGUGCGUGGAACCUCGAAAGAAAGAAAAAGUAAGACAAGAGGUAAAAAUGGACAAGUGUCCGACAGUAGAAUUAGGGGUACAAGAUACCCACCUGAGAGAAAAGAAAAAGUAAAGAUAGAGCAUCUCAUUCUCCUCAUAAAGUUUCAAAAAGCAAGGAAGGUAUGUAUCCCCUCAAAAGCAAAAGUAGAAUUAGACUUUCACCAUUGUUAUCACCAUCAUCACCAUACACCAUUCAUUCACCACACAUGCACAUCUUGAUUUGGCUUAUUGAUUUGUUUCUUUGGAUCCAUGGUUUGACUAUACAAUAAAUGUCUUGUAAGUAUGUAUACUUUAUCUCCCACCUAUGAGCUCCAGAUAUUAAAGCCUUAUUAGAGUAGGGUGAGAGAGAAGGCAAUGUCACUAUGCCUUAUACCACAAAUACCAUAUAUCUUGAGAGAAGGCAUAUACCAUCACUGCCUUGGUAAGGAUCCAGAAAUACCACAAAAGAGAGAUUUAGAGAGUCAUACAAGGAAUCUCUGAGUUUUAUUUGAAAAUCUGCAAAUACUCCAGAGCUAUAGCUGAUCAAGAAUAAGAGACAUGGCACUUGGCUAAACUGUUCUAUCUUUUAACUACUCAAGACAGAAGUGACGGUUACAAGUCCCAUGGUGAAAGGUAAAGUAAGUAAGUUUUAGUUCUUGACAGUUUACUCUAACUCAGAGAUGAGAUCUUAUUUAAAAGCAUGUGUACCGUCAAAUUUUUAAGAUAUUGCAACAACUUCUGAUCCAUUGCUGAGUCUAUUCUUGCUCAGGGACGAGCAAGAGGUAAGCUUGGGGGAGUUUGUUGACGGUCCUUAAGUAUCAAAUUUAAUUACCAAAUAAACAAAGAAAAGGAUCUAAAUGAAAUCAACAUCUAGACUUAGGGUUUUAUCUGACAGAAUUCCACGAGUUUUUGUGUUUGUCUAUUUCUGCAGGGGGUUAUCAGGAAAUACGGAAGAAAGGCCCACACGUCGGGAUUACAUAGAGAUAUCAACGUGCCGCGCAAUUAUUUUCCAUCUAGAAGACUCCAGAAGCCACGGGAACGAACGGGAAGGCGAACGGGCCCGGGGACAGGGCGCCCGCCCACCCCCCUUGGGCACCCGCCCAGGAGUUGUAGUCAAACACGUCCAACUUUGCGGACCAAGCUCCACCGACCUAAAGGAUCAAGGAUAACGGUUCAAUCAAUGUCGGUUUGAUCCGACGGCCCAGGUUCACUUGAGGGGACUAUAUAACCAGACCCCCUGGCCCCUGGAGGAGACACCCCUUGAUCAUUAUACAUUAUUCAUAGACAGAGCAAAAGCUAGGGUUUAGAGAUGAGAGCUCUCCUCUCUUCUCUAAACUAGAGUAGAUCUAGAUAGUAGCAAGAUGGAGAGCGAAGGAGGAUUAGAGGAGAGGCCGGCCUGUCGGUUCUUCCUACGGUUGUACUUCGUCAUGAUCAAGCUCUAAUCAAGCUUGCUCAUGGGAUGACUCUGGUAAUCUACUUCUAAUUCAUUAUGCAAUUACUAAUUAUCGAUGUUCUGGUUCACAACUCUUUUGAGUAAUCUAAUCUAUAGAACGCUAUAGGUGAGAGUUGUAGUAUAGGUGUAAGCGUGGUGCUUAGACCUAGAUUACUUGUGGAUAUCCCCUGUCUAGCUGGAUCGUGUGGUAGGCCGUGUAGGUGACAGUUACGUUGGUCCUCUGUAGUCCACCUCUCGUUAGCAGGACGGGUAGGGUUUAUCGGCCUAAGGAUAAGCAUCCUUUGUGGUGUACUCUUAUCACGUGGUUCGUCUCAGACAUAGACAUACCCCAUUGAAGUAUAGAAACCAUAGUUAUACUCUCUAUUCUGCUACCAUCGCCCAUAUACUAGAAUUGCUCUACUCUCUAUUCCCAUAUUAUCACUCACUGUUAUCUUACCUUUAGUAUUGUUCUUAUUCGAUUCUACCAUCUUUCCUAUUUACACUUAUUUACUUAUCUUGGUUAAGUUAGAACGUAGAUCAGUUCUCCCGUUUCCCUGUGGAUACGAUAAAACCUUUAAUCGGGUAAAAGCUUCAACGGUAUCCGUGCGCUUGCGGAUUAUCUGUGUGCAUAUAAAUACCAUAGUACACUCUAGUGCCAUGCUAGGGAUGACAACCUAGUAUUCAAGUGUUGUUAGCAAGUGUCAACAUUUAUGUGUUCCUAGAGAUGCUAGAAUUCUGGAGAAUUUUAUCUUUGAAAAUCUUUAAAAUGUUGCAUGAUGAGUUCCUGUAUGAUGAGAGUUUAAAUUCCUACCACAACCAUAUAUACAUGCUUGCUAGACUUUGAGCCACACAUUUACUUUUUACUCCUUAUGAGCAUUGAGUGUGGUCAAGCUGUUUAGACCUUUAGGAGUUUGUCAUGUGGUUAAAUCAAGAUUCACUUGCACGUUCACUCACACAUGCUGCUUCUACUCCGGAAGUUUGCAUCCUCAUAUAUCCACCCAUUUCUAUCUCCAGAACCACCCAAAAAUAUUCUACUCCUAAUCUGGGAGAGAAUAGCCAAAAAUAUUUCUAUUUUUCCCUGUGAAAUAAAUGCUCAAGUUAUCUUGGUUACUACCACUUGCUAUAUUAUUUCGAAAGAUGAGUGCUCUAAUUUGAAAAAGAGAGAAAAAAAGAGAGAUACAAGGAAAUAAAAAGGGGCAAGUGCCCAGAACCUCGAAGAAAAGAAAAAGUGAGAUGAGAGGUAAAAAUGGACAAGUGUCCGACAGUAGAAUUAGGGGUACAAGAUACCCACCUGAGAGAAAAGAAAAAAAAAGAAAAUAUAGAGCAACUCAUUCCUCUCAAAAAGCUUCAAAGUGCAAGAAAGGUAUGUAUCCCCUCAAAAGAGCAUAAGUAGAAUUAGACCUUCACCAUUGUUAUCACCAUCAUCACCAUACACCAUUCAUUCGCCACACAUGCACAUCUUGAUUUGACUUAUUGACUUGUUCUUCUGGAUCCAUGGUUUGACUAUGCAAUAAAUGUCUUGCAAGUAUGUAUUAGCUGUCUCCUACCUAUGAGCUCCAGAUAUCAAAACCUUAUUAGAGUAGGGUGAG
rnacentral:lncRNA from 1 species